CCUACGGGGGGCAGCAGUGGGGAAUAUUGGACAAUGGGCGAAAGCCUGAUCCAGCCAUGCCGCGUGUGUGAAGAAGGCCUUCGGGUUGUAAAGCACUUUCAGUGGGGAAGAAAGCCUUGGGGCUAAUACCCUCGAGGAAGGACAUCACCCACAGAAGAAGCACCGGCUAACUCCGUGCCAGCAGCCGCGGUAAUACGGAGGGUGCGAGCGUUAAUCGGAAUUACUGGGCGUAAAGCGCGCGUAGGCGGUCUGAUAAGCCGGUUGUGAAAGCCCCGGGCUCAACCUGGGAACGGCAUCCGGAACUGUCAGGCUAGAGUGCACGAGAGGAAGGUAGAAUGCGCGGUGUAGCGGUGAAAUGCGUAGAGAUCGGGAGGAAUACCGGUGGCGAAGGCGGCCUUCUGGACUGACACUGACGCUGAGGUGCGAAAGCGUGGGUAGCAAACAGGAUUAGAUACCCUAGUAGUC
rnacentral:rRNA from 1 species